CGGAAUAACUCCCCCAAAGGGGUGCUAAUACCGGAUAAUGUCUUCGGACCAAAGAUUUAUCGCCUUUGGAUGGGCCCGCGUUGGAUUAGCUAGUUGGUGAGGUAAAGGCUCACCAAGGCGACGAUCCAUAGCUGGUCUUAGAGGAUGAUCAGCCACACUGGGACUGUGACACGGCCCAGACUCCUAAGGGAGGCAGCAGUGGGGAAUAUUGGACAAUGGGCGAAAGCCUGAUCCAGCAAUCCCGCGUGAGUGAUGAAGGCCUUAGGGUUGUAAAGCUCUUUUACCCGGGAUGAUAAUGACAGUACCGGGAGAAUAAGCUCCGGCUAACUCCGUGCCAGCAGCCGCGGUAAUACGGAGGGAGCUAGCGUUGUUCGGAAAUACUGGGCGUAAAGCGAACGUAGGCGGCCAAGUAAGUCAGAGGUGAAAUCCCGGAGCUCAACUCCGGAACUGCCUUUGAAACUGCAUGGCAAGAAUCCUGGAGAGGCGAGUGGAAUUCCGAGUGUAGAGGUGAAAUUCGUAGAUAUUCGGAAGGACACCAGUGGCGAAGGCGACUCG
rnacentral:rRNA from 1 species